rnacentral:rRNA from 1 species
GGAUGAACGUUGGCGGUGUGCCUAAUACAUGCAAGUCGAACGGAGUUAAUAGCAAUAUUGACUUAGUGGCGAACGGGUGAGUAACGCGUUGGUGAUCUGCCUCGAAGUGUGGAAUAACGUUCCGAAAGGAACGCUAAUACCGCAUGUGCUCUCGAUUUUUAGAAAGUUGAGAGUAAAGGAUUUAUUCGCUUCGAGAGGAGCCUGCGUCCCAUCAGCUGGUUGGUAGGGUAACGGCCUACCAAGGCUAUGACGGGUAGGGGACCUGAGAGGGUGGCCCCCCACAAUGGAACUGAAACACGGUCCAUACACCUACGGGUGGCAGCAGUAGGGAAUAUUAGAAAUGGACGAAAGUCUGAUCUAGCAACACCGCGUGUGCGAAGAAGGCCUUCGGGUCGUAAAGCACUUUUUGGAAGGAAUAGGAAGGAAUGUACUUCCAGAAUAAGUCUCGGCUAACUACGUGCCAGCAGCCGCGGUAACACGUAGGAGGCAAACGUUAUCCGGAUUUACUGGGCGUAAAGCGCGUGUAGGUGGUUCUGUAAGUAGGGCGUGAAAGCUCCCGGCUCAACUGGGAGAGGCCGUUCUAAACUACAGAACUAGAGGAUGGUAGAGGGAGGUGGAAUUCCAGGUGUAGCGGUGGAAUGCGCAGAUAUCUGGAGGAACACCAGUGGCGAAGGCGGCCUCCUGGACCAUUCCUGACACUCAGACGCGAAAGCUAGGGUAGCAAACGGGAUUAGAGACCCCGGUAGUCCUAGCCCUAAACGAUGUAGACUNNNCGUCGGAAGUUUAAUCACUUUCGGUGUCCAAGCUAACGCGAUAAGUCUACCGCCUGGGGACUACGGCCGCAAGGUUAAAACUCAAGGGAAUUGACGGGUCCCCGCACAAGCAGCGGAGCAUGUGGUUUAAUUCGAAGCAACGCGAAGAACCUUACCAGGUCUUGACAUCCAUCUAAAGCUGCGGAGACGCAGUGUGAGCAAGCUCGAGAUGAGACAGGUGGUGCAUGGUUGUCGUCAGCUCGUGUCGUGAGAUGUUGGGUUAAGUCCCGCAACGAGCGCAACCCUUGCCGGUAGUUACUAACGGGAAGAGCCGAGGACUUUACCGGGACCGCCGGGGACAACUCGGAGGAAGGUGGGGACGACGUCAAAUCAUCAUGCCCCUUAUGACCUGGGCUACACACGUGCUACAAUGGCCGAGACAGAGGGUAGCGAAGGCGCGAGCCGGAGCGAAUCUCAAAAAAGCGGUCACAGUUCGGAUUGCGGGCUGCAACCCGCCCGCAUGAAGCAGGAGUUGCUAGUAAUCGCGAAUCAGCAUGUCGCGGUGAAUACGUUCCCGGGCCU